ACAGCCCAAACCUUUUUUCCUACG
rnacentral:siRNA from 1 species